rnacentral:rRNA from 1 species
GAAAAGAAACCAACAGGGAUUACCUCAGUAACGGCGAGUGAAGCGGUAACAGCUCAAAUUUGAAAUCUGGCCGCAAGGUCCGAGUUGUAAUUUGUAGAGGAUGUUUCGAGCAUGGUCUGGCCUAAGUUCCUUGGAACAGGACGUCAUAGAGGGUGAGAAUCCCGUAUGCGGUCAGGUGCCUACGCUCAUGUGAAACUCCUUCGACGAGUCGAGUUGUUUGGGAAUGCAGCUCAAAAUGGGUGGUAAAUUUCAUCUAAAGCUAAAUAUUGGCCAGAGACCGAUAGCGCACAAGUAGAGUGAUCGAAAGAUGAAAAGCACUUUGGAAAGAGAGUUAAACAGUACGUGAAAUUGUUGAAAGGGAAGCGCUUGCAACCAGACUUGCGCGCGGCUGAUCAUCCGGGCUUCUGCCCGGUGCACUCGGUCGCGCUCAGGCCAGCAUCGGUUUUGGUGGCGGGAUAAAGGCCUUGGGAAUGUAGCUCCUCUCGGGGAGUGUUAUAGCCCAGGGUGCAAUGCCGCCUACCGGGACCGAGGACCGCGCUUCGGCUAGGAUGCUGGCGUAAUGGUUGUAAGCGACCCG